UUUGCCCAGCAAAAAGCUCUUGCCUGCUGAGCCACAUCCCCAGCCCCUGCUGCAGCUUCUUCAUUUAGAAAGGACUCCAGCACUGGACCCCAGCAUGCAUCUCAGUUUGUGUGUUCCCAGUGGAGAAGCCAAGCGGGAAAGAGAGGCACAGCCAAUCGCACUUCACACAAGUAUCGAGUCUGUGGUCCCAGUGUGAGCCCCAUUGAAAUGGGAAAGCAGGAGAGCGACCCCAAGGAAGCUGCCAAGAGGACGGUAUCUGAGGACAGGCUUUGGGUCUGGGCUGUGGGCACAGGGGAAGUCAGGCUGCUGGCUGUGGUGGUCUGAAUGAGAUGUCCCCAUAGUCUCAGCUAUUUGGAUAUCUGGUCCCAGCUGGUAGUGUUGUUUGGGGAGGGUUAGGUGUGGCUUUGUUGGAGGAAGCAGGUCCACUGGAGGCCAGCUUUAAGAGUUUAAAGAUUCACCAUUUGGAGUGCACUCUCUAGGCUUCUUGCCUGCGGUUCCAGUCACCCCACCUGCUGCCUCCACUCCACCACCAUGGACUCUUAACUCUCUGGGACCACUGACUGUGACUUCCUCAGAUGCCAGGAGGGCAGGGCCUGCCUGGAUUUCUCUGUCUCUACCUCUCUGUCUGGUCCAGUCUCAGGAGAGAACUUGGGUUUUUUGUUUUGAGGCCAGCUCUUACGUGUGUAUCCCAGACUAGCUUCAAAUUCAACAUGUAGCCUCAAAAAUGACCUUGAACUUCUCUUCCUCCUGCUUCAGCCUCCUGCACUGGGAUUGUCGGAUUGUGAAUUACCAGGGACCAAAGCGAGAACGUGGGCCUAAAGCGCUCUACCAAUUGUACUACACCACAGCCUACAAUUGGGACUCAAUUUUUUUUUUUUCUUUCUAAGGAACUCCUAUUUGAGCUGUCCACCCAAGUCAGGAUCUCUCACUGCCCCCUCCCUUCCGAAGUCACCUGCUUUGGUCUUUCCCAGCCUGAAGACUAGCACCUCCUCCUCGGGGAGGGGGCUUUGGAAUCUGAGUUGCGAUCACGGCAGUUGAGCUCUGGAGCCAGCCACUUCUGAAGCACAGAAGACAUCAAGGAAACUGUCAGGACCUGCGAAGUCCUGAGAGUUCCCAGGAAGCCUCCAUCGGCUCUGGGACAAUCACCUUGCAAUAGAGGCUGAAAGAGUUUGUUUUUCACAAACUGUAGGCAAGGGUGAGUUGAUCCAGGCUGAUCUUCGCUGACCAAGAAAUGGGCUUGGUUGGUGCAUACUGAGCUCAACUGCUCUUGCCUGGGCUUAGCUGAGCCAAGCUAAUCUCCACUGAUCCGCCCUGGACUCAGCUGUUAUAUACUGUGAUCUGCUGAUCCAAGCUGAGAUGUCUGACCUAAACUGGCCUCAGCUGGCCCAGGUUGGACUCUGCUGGUUCAAACUCAUUCAGCUGAUCCCAUCUGAGUUUGGCUGGUGUGGAGUAGCCCAGGGUAGCCCCACUCAUGUUGGUGAGUUUGCUGAGCUGAUCUAAAUUGGCUUCACUGGGAUCACGUCCAUCGGGGUAGCCUGGGCUAAUUCUCACAGCAGAGGCAGAACCCCAAGAAAGGAGGCCAGUGAGUCAAGGCCCCCUAGGUGCUAGACUCAGAACAAUGACUUUCUGGUGAAAGGAACAGUGCUGUACUGUGAGGCCUGGAUGGAUGGGUGUGGGCAAACAAUUGGGGCCGUGUUUGCAACCCAUCAUUUACACCUACCUGGAACAUUCUUCUCCCCCAAAGAGGCAGGCAUGACCUAAAAGUAUUAGGGGACAGAAUAUUGGGUCACCUGCCCAGCCUGGCCACUUUUCUUUAAGUAGGACAAACCCCAAAAGACUUCAGAGGCAUUCCUUACAAGCCCACAUCCUAGAGAUGAGAAAUGGAGACCUAGACAGGGAGGGAACUGGCCCAAGGCCAUAUCCGGGCCUCCCAGCCCACUUUCCUUCUGGGAACCAAGCCAUGGCCCCUUAAGAAUGUAGGAGGCUCAGGCAGUGAGCUCAGGGCUCAGGGCUGGAUCAACAGAUGUUCUAAAUAGGGAGGAGGUGGAAGGUAAUGGGACUGAGCGUGAGCCAUAGAUAAAUGGAGACAGCUGGGUGUGGUGGCACACUUGGAAGGUACAGGCAGGAGGGUCUGGAGGAUCAGGAGUUCAAGGCCAUCCUGGGCUACAUGAAACCCUAACUAAGGGGCAGGGGUAUGAAAUCUAUAGAUAUGGGCCCUGUGGUAGGGGAUUAGGCAGGAUUUGUAUACAGUUCCUCUAUCUGCUUUUGUUUAUUUCCGUUUUUCUUUUUAAAUUUUUAAAUGUGCUAUAAUAUUACUCUGUG